rnacentral:rRNA from 1 species
GACGAACGCUGGCGGCGUGCUUAACACAUGCAAGUCGAACGGAAAGGCCCUGCUUUUGUGGGGUGCUCGAGUGGCGAACGGGUGAGUAACACGUGAGUAACCUGCCCUUGACUUUGGGAUAACUUCAGGAAACUGGGGCUAAUACCGGCUAGGAGCUCCUGCUGCAUGGUGGGGGUUGGAAAGUUUCGGCGGUUGGGGAUGGAAUCGCGGCUUAUCAGCUUGUUGGUGGGGUAGUGGCUUACCAAGGCUUUGACGGAUAGCCGGCCUGAGAGGGUGACCGGCCACAUUGGGCCUGAGAUACGGCGCAGACUCGUACGGGAGGCAGCAGUGGGGAAUAUUGCGCAAUGGGCGGAAGUCUGAUGCGGCAACGCCGCGUGCGGGAUGACGGCCUUCGGGGUGUAAACCGCUUUCGCCUGUGACGAAGCGUGAGUGACGGUAAUGGGUAAAGAAGCACCGGCUAACUACGUG